CGAAUUGAGGUAAUAAACACAGAAAUGGAAAAAUUAACACAUAAGAGGCUCGAGGUCGUCCCCACCUAAUAAAGAAAAAUAAAACAAGAAUACAACACUACAAGUUCUACUUCUGGUCUCCAAUUACAGAAUACUACGGGGCAUUCUCCGGAAUAAAAUAUAUACAAAUCCUCCGGGGCAUUCCCCGGAUAAAUUUAACUAAGGGAACAUCUCUCGCCUCGAAACUAAAGAAAAUCCUAAGGCUUGCCUACCCAAGUGUGGCCGGCCAAAACAUGAUACUAGCGGGUGACGUAAUAAUAAAAGGAAUAGAUAAUAAAUAAAUAAAUGAACAAAAGAGAACUAUCUAAGAGAAAAAUUCAACUCAUGCUCCAAUUGAAUUGAUUCUUUUUAACCCAACUCCACGUCCCAUUUCGAGCAAAUUAGACCAAAUAAUCUCGCCUCGACUUAGUUCAAUUCACACGGCCCAUUUCAAGUAAUUCUAAUUUAUAUUCAUGUUCUACUCAUAGAUAUUGUUUAUCCACUAUUCAUACUUGUAUUUAGAACAUCCAAAUAAUUAAGAAGGAAAUAUCAUAUCAUUCCAUCCUAACAUGAAAAUAAUCAGCACAAAUAGAAGAGAAAGAGACGAGAUGGACCUGAGCAAACUUUCCCUUACUAAUUUGAUUAAUGUUAAUUCCACAAACAAUGAAGCUCAACCCACGAUUCGAGGAACAAACAGGGACAACAACGGUACCAAUAAAACCCGAAACAAGAAACACAUCGGCGAUGCCAAGCGGAACACUGAACGAUGACCUCAAUCGUUUCCAACACCCCAGCUCCAAUACAGCUUAGCAGAAAAGGAUUUCACAUCGUUUAAUCGGCUUUCACCAUUUCUGCAAUUUGUUGUUCUUUUAUUUUAUUUUCGACUCUGUGUGUGUGUGAUUUUUGUGAAGGGAGAUGGGGUUUUUCGCUGGGUUGCGGCUGGAACGUGGGUGUUGGGGAGGAGAUGCCUAGUCGUUCUCUGAAGGUCGUUUUUGUGGGAGGUUGCUGGUAGUCUUGGAGUAGGGAGAUGUGAGGCGGGUGGUCGUUGGGCGUUGAGGGAGUGGUAGCGGUGUGGAGAAGAAGACAGUGGAGUGGGGUGACGGCUGGAAUGUGUGGUUCUAGGAUUUUUUGUUCUUGGUUCUCUGUCCAAAAGAAAGGUUUGAAAAGGUUAGUUAAAUAUGCUCCUAUGAGACAAUAAUGUAGUACUCAUGUGUUGGUGGUCCCCACAGUAAAUAUUUUUGAUUAAUGAAGAUAAAAACUAAAGAAAAUAAAAUAAAAUAAAAUGAUAAAAUAUUAAAAAGCAUAAAAUGGCGUGAAGUUAAGGUGAGAACUGAAAACAAGAAUUGUGAAAUCUUUUUGCCUUCUUUCUUUUUAAUUAAAGAUAUAAAUAUAAAAAUCAAUUCUACUAUUAUAAUAAAUUAAUUUCUCUUUCUUUUUCCAUAUGACUUUCUUUAAAGAUGAAUAGCCAAACGAAAAUUAACUAGAUUAAUAACAAGUAUACCAAAAGAGAAAUAAAGUAAGCUACAUUAAGUUUUGUUAAAUACUAUUUAAUAUAUACUAAAACCUACAACUUCAAAACUAAAUUAAGUAAAUAUAUAUUUUUUAAAAUUUUCUUUUUAUCUUUUUUGUAAAAUAAAAUGUCAGCACUUUUUUUGUAUUUUUUUCAGUUUAUGAAAAGUAAGAAAAACUAAAAAGUUACUAGUUAAAACAAAAAUUAGCUAACAUAAAGGAAAAUAUUUUUGUAAUUUUUAAUUUUGUGACAAAAUAAAGUAAAAGAGUCAAAACUAGUUGAAAUAGCGAUAUUAGGCCUAAACUAAAUAUUUAAAUGCUAAAAUAUGUAAAAUCAUGGGGAGGGUCAAAAAUUACAUGUCUACAGCUGCCCCUAUUUGACUGAAAAUACGAAGAGUUUUCAGACAAAGAAUGACUAGACAGGUUUUUUGACCCGACUCUUAUUUAGAGAGACCAAAAACUAAAAGAGAGGAGAAUGUGACCGAGCCCUGGUAUCUGAGCUGCCAACAUAUCCUUAGCUAUAAAUGAAUCAGGCCACGUGUAGUUCAGAAGCAGGAGGAGUGACAGAGUUUACCGAGGUGGAGAGCCACUUGAGGUGUCGUCCCGUCGAGGUUCCGGUCCGCGGUCCUGUUAUUACAUCAAAAUAAAAAAAAAUGAAUAAGUCUAACUAGGCCUGUCAGCUAUGAGUUACAAGAUUCCUAUCUAUAAAUCUUCUGAAGCUUGAUCUUGAGUCUUGAAUGAUUUUUCAUGCAGACUUUAGAUUUGAACCUUGACGCUUGCUAGCUGCAGGUGCUAGUUCAUUCCUCUUCAGCUUUUCGGAUCACGAUCAGACAUGCAGUGCUCGUAACUUCAAUCAUGUCUUGAACAGUUCACAUCUUGCAUCUGCUUCUGCAUUUGGAUUUACUUCUUUUUUUUUCUUCUCUCUUUUUCAUUCUGGAUUGAGACUACUUCUGUUGGUCAUCUCAGACUGUUGACCCGUAUUCUUGCCGUGAGCUUCUGCUACUUCUAACUUGAAUUGAAUUCUGAAAUGAUUUCCCUCGUUCUCCAGGUGGACACCUGCUACUGACUUGAAACUUGAAACAAUUCCGAAAUGAAUUCCCUCAUUCUCCAGGUGGGUGCCUACAAUAAAACAACAAAACAAACAAAAUUUUCUGCCCCAGUUUGCACUAGGAGGAUUUGUGAGUUGUUAACAAAACUGUAAAUCAUUUAUGUUAUUGAUGCAAUGAUGAGAGGAAAACUAAAGACUCAACUGAGAUGUGCAUCUCCUAUGAGUAAAACCAAGAAAAUUUGACUAGCAAAUUCAUCAGACUAGGUCUUUUAUCGUAGGAGAAAGUUUCAUCAGACUAAGAUUUCGAUCCUAGGAGAAAAUUUAUCAGACUAGGACCCUUUUUUUGUUAUCUUAGGAGAAAAAUUCAUCAGAUUAAGAUUUUGAUCCUAGGAGAAAAUUCAUCAAACUAGGUUUCUUAUCUUAGGAGAAAGAUUCAUCAGACUAAGAUUUUGAUUCUAGGAGAAAAUUCAUCAGACUAGGUCUCUUUUGUUUUGGUUAUCUUAGGAGAAAAAUUCAUCAAACUAAGAUUUGGAUCCUAGCAGAAAGUUCAUCAGACUAGGUUUUCUAUCUUAGGAGAAAGAUUCAUCAGACUAAGAUUUUGAUCCUAAGAGAAAAUUCAUCAGACUAGGUCUUUUUUUUUUAUCUUAGGAGAAAUAUUCAUCAGACUAAGAUUUUGAUCCUAGGAGAAAAUUCAUCAGACUAGGUUUAUUAUCUUAGGAGAAAGAUUCAUCAGACUAAGAUUUUAAUCCUAGGAGAAAAUUCAUCAAAUUAGGUCUUUUUUUUUUGGUUAUCUUAGGAGAAAGAUUCAUCAGACUAAGAUUUUGAUCCUAAGAGAAAAUUCAUCAGACUAGGUUUUCUAUCUUAGGAGAAAAAUUCAUCAUACUAAGAUUUUAUCGGGAGGAAACUCCAUCAGACUAGGACUUUUUAUCCUAGGAGGAAAAAUGUGAAGACCAAUGGCAACAUUUUAUGCACACUAGCAAGAUAGAUAAAGGUAAACAUUUGAGAAACUUCCCUUUGUCGGCUCUUCUCUUCUUUUUUUCUUUUCUUUCUUUUCCUUUUUUUGUUUGUUUUUGAACCAACUUGCUUGCACUGCUUUGUUCCUAUUUCAAACAAAGAAAACUGGUGAGUUUUAAAUAUGGUGGUUAGUUUGUGGCCUUGACUACGAGGGCAAUCUCUCUUGCACUUGUCACGAUCAACUUGGAUUUCAACUUGGAAGACAGUGCUUGCUAUCGACCGACCGCUUUUUCGGACCACCCUUAUCACAAAAAAUAUUCCUGAUUCAUUCAAAUACAAUACCUUAUGCCCGAUACCUUGCACUCGUGUUCUAACAUUCACCAAAUCUUUGCAUUUUACCUCAAUCCCAAAGAACAUCUAUUAUCACCAACUCAGUGCACCCACUAUUCUCAUGCAUCUUAUGUCAAUUUGAUGUGCUUUCCAGAUAUGGGCUUCGUGUGAUUAAAAAGCUGGUAGCAGAUUUUGAAGUUAUUUCUCACUUGUUUCGACAAAAUCAGACCCAAAAGGGACUCAAACAAGAUAAGAGGAACAAAAUAAGGGAAAAAACGAGAGGAGAUGGUAUCUAACAAGAAAAUAUUUUUACCAAGGAAAAAGAACAAAGUAGAAACUAAUCUGAUUUGAAGGUUAUCUCCACUGACCAUGACAUGUACUUUGGAUUAAGCGUCCUGAUCUGUCAAGCGAGUCAAAUCUUCAACUCUUGUUAUGCCUCUAAGCUGGGAAACUGGGCUUCAGCGCUCCAAUUGUCCUAUCUGAUCCACAAUUCUCAGUCGACUUGUAGUGAUCUGAAGGGUUUUCACCAUUAAGCCUAUCUUAUUUUGCUCUUUUUCUCAACUCACAGUCACCUUACGGUGCCCAUGAGAGUUUUCACCGGUAAGACUCGCUCAUUUUAUCAUUUUCUCUCUUUGUGCUGAGAAUGAAGGUAUUACCUAUGAUGCAGGAAGAUCAUACUUUCACCACACACUUGAUUUGACAUCCUCAAAUAUUGGUUGGAAGGUAUUUUUGGACCGUAAUAUAGGCUUUUGGACAGGAUUAGAAAGAAAGGUGACAUGAAAGCUCAAAAUAAUUUAAGAUGAAAAGGGUUCAAAAAUACAGCUCUUGGAAUCAGAUCUUUUACAAAACCAAAACUUCUGCCCCAGUUUCUUUGGGCCUGGGGGAAUCUUGAAUUUUCAUUUUGAGGGGAUCAAACCGUAAGGCUGCCUACAUAUCCUUAAAAGGAAUCAGGUCGAACGUAGUUCAAACAAAAUUUGCUUGGUUUUAAUUUUUUUUCUUUUUCUUCUUCUUUUUUUCUUUUCUUUUCUUUUCUUAUCUUUCUUCUUUUUCUUCCUCUUGUUUUCCAAUUCUACUCCUAAUUCCAAAAGAGGGGUAUGAAAAAAAAUAAAUAAGGCUCAAAAGGGGUAACAAAGGAUAAAAGUGUUUGGGUAGCAGAACAAAAUGCCUUCGUCAGGCCAAACUUUUAAAAAUACCAAGUACAACCAUGCAAUUAAAGAUAAACAAAGAAAUAAAACAUAGUAUCUAUUGAUGGCAUCAACACAAACAAAAAUUGCCGACAAACAAUACCUUUGUCCCAAUGAAUGAUCCUUGCCAGUUCGAAACAGACUUGACUCAACCUUGUAUUGAUGUGGAAGAAUGCAUUUCAGCACUGACUGAUUUUCCUCAAACUGCUUGAGAGACAUUUCCUUAUUGUAUGCUCUUGUCAACCUCAUGAUUUCCCAAACUAACUACCUCAGUUUCACUCAAUUCAAGCUUCAAGUUAUCUCAAAAUGGGUGAAUCUUUACUUGUUUCCUCAAAUGCCUCAUUUUAUCAUAUUCAAAACUGUGUUUUUGCUUCAUGAUUAGACUAACUUUUAAGACCAGGCAGAGAAUUAUGCUUGCAUGUUAUGUCACUAGAGUCAGCAUGAAAAGAACUAUAAAAGAAAAAGUGACCUAAACAAAAACUGACUAGAACUAACAGGAAACAAGAGAUUACAUUAGACAGAUGGUGAAAAGGGUUUGAACAAAACAAGCAAAAAUAGACAUGGGUUACAACCCUGGAAUAAUCCUAGAUAACACUAGACGAGUUACUACCACUAAACGAACUAGGCAAAAUAAGAAAAAGAAGGGUUUGAGCCACAAGACAAUAUCCGAAUUACAACCCUGAAAUAACUCGGACAACAGAAAUGACAACAAAAUAGACCACCAAAACUCAUCCCUGGCUAGCCAAGAAAGAAGUGUCUUUCCAAUUACCAAGCACUACAUCUUAGCCACUAGAUUGCACAUCAAAAUUACUGGGACCUUCACCAGUUUCAAUAUCAUUAACUUUAGUUAGCAAGUUUCCAAAAGGAUUCUCAUACUCCCUGUCACUAUGCAUCCUCCCCACAAAGUGUGCAUCAUCAUGUGCAGGUAAAGGAUUCUAUGCGAUGUUCUGGGUCUCACUGUCCUAGAUCAUAAUUAUCCCUUCUUGUAUCAUUCUUUCUAUUUCUCUUUUCAAAUCCCGACAACUUUCAAUAUUGUGCCCUUGGGCAUUGGAAUGGUAUUCUCACCUUUUAGAAGGGUCAAAGCUUCUUUCACGCAGGUCCACAUGAUUCGGAGGAAUAGGUGCAAUCAGGUCAUAAUGCUUUAAUUUCUCAAACAAACUUGCAUAGGACUCUCCUAUCGGUGUAAAAUUAUCUUUCAACCUUUGUUUACCUCUAUACCCCUGACUUGGAUGUGGGUUCUGGGGCACCUGAAAAUUGUUUAGAUGCUGGUGGAGAUUUUGCGGUGCUAGUGCUCGCUUUUUGACGUGUCUUGGUGGUUGGAUAACAUACUAGGGUGGAACAACAUAGUAUUGUUGGUUCUCAGGGGAAUCGUCAAAAAACAAACGAGGCUGGUCAUGCCUUCAAGAUGUUCUUCUAGGACCUCUUCUCGACCCUGAUAUCAUCAUGAUUUCUUCAACCUUUUCAUUCGUGCCACUAAAAUUACCAGAUUCAAUUUGGACAGCCUGAGUUGCAGCUUUGAGAGUUGCUUGACUUAUAAUUUUGCUUGUCUUAAGGCCAUUCUCUACCAUUUCUCCCAUUUUGAUUACUUCCGAGAAUGAUUUGCCAACUGUGGACAUCAUGUUUUGAAAGUAAUCGGGCUCUUGAGCCUGAAGGAAGACAGUGAUUAGCCUCAUGGUCAUCCAUGGGUAACUUAACUCUAGCUGCUUGUUCUCUCCAUUUAAUGGCAUAUUCUCUAAACUUUCAGUUGGUUUCUUCUUCAGAUUUGAAAGAGAAUUACGUUCCGGGGAGAUGUCAAUGUUAUAUUGGAACUUUUUUACAAAGGCCUAGGCCAUGUCAUCCCAGACAUACCAGCAAGAUGUGUCUUGACCCAUAAACCAUUCGGAGGCUACACCCGUAAGGCUUUCCCCAAAAUAAACCAUUAGUAAUUCUUCAUUUCCACCCGCACCUCUUAGUUGAUUGCAAUACCUUUUCAAGUGGGCUAUGGGGUCUCUAUAUCCAUCAUACUUUUCAAAUUUGGGAGUCUUGGCAAACGAACAUCGAGGAACAUACAUAGAUCCUUGAAGGCAAUACUCUUCUGACCUGAUAGCCCUUGUAUGUUUUUCAAUUGUUGUUCUAAGCUUUUCAGUCUUUGGGUUAUUUCUUCCGGUGCUAUCUUUCGGGUAGGCUUCUCAAUCUUUGCAGGAAGAUCAAAUAGGUAAGAGUGGUACUCAGGAGAGUGGUAUUGUUUUUGUUGGGUAACAAGUUGUUACUUAUGAGUUUUCCUCUGCACCACCGUCGACUGUGGGAUGGUGAAGACAUGCAUAACUGUAGUGGUUGUCUAAUUGGUUGUCAAUGGCGCACUUUGGGAGUGCGCAAUAGAGGUUCCAGCUAUAGUCGUACAAUUGGGAUAAAGACUGAACCUAAAUGGAUAGAAUUGAUCAGACAAUCAAAUUGGAGUGGUAGUAGUCGAGAUGGGUGUAAACUCUGGGAAAAUAUAAGAAAGGGGUGGUCCUUGACCAUUGGCCCAUGUUUGACACAUUUCAGACAUUUGUUGUUUCAGCCUUUGGACCCCCUCUUUCAAUUCAGAUUCCGACUCCACAAUCUCCCUCGAGGGGUCAACAACUCCUGUGUCCAAGUCUUUACUAGCCAUGACUUCCUUGCUUUUGGACCUUGUGUUGUAUGGACGAAUCGCCAAAGUGCCACAAACUAACCACCCUCUAUUAUGAUAAUAAUAAAGUAACAAAGAGGAACAAAACAAAGCCAACAUGUUAGCGUUAUGACAUUUAUCAGAUAGAAAUAUCACAUUGUGUGCAAUGCCCCUAGCAAUAAUUAACGGUUCUAGAAUGACUUCGAGGGUCACAAGGUCAUUUGGUAUCAUCCCAAUUUUGUUCAUUUCAAUUUUUUCUUUUCUUUCUUUUCUAGCACUUCUUGGCUUGCUUAUUUUUCUUUCUGAUAAACACUCUUUUCUUUCCUCUCACUUUCCACAUCCACAAUUUCAUCCUUUUUUUCCUUUUUUUUUUAGUUUUAAAAAAAAUAAUUCGAUCAAACCCUAUGUAGGUUGCCUACGUAUCAUGUCCCUCAUGAAUCAGAUCAAGCGCAGUUUUGGGAAAGUAAUGGAAAAAAUAAACUAAAAACAAAAAUCUUUUGAAUUUUCAUAAUAAUUUUUUUUUGUUUUUCUAUUUUCAAAAAUACAAAAUGGGAAGUAUAGUAACAAAAUACUCGAUAUUACUGUACAAGACUAGAAAGUAAAAGACAACAUGAAUGACAGACUCAAAACAUAGAAGUAUCUUUAAGCAGCUCCUGAUUGUAGUGGUUCUGGGUAUUUGUCAUGCUCAAGCUCUGGUAAAUGAAUUCAUACCUGAAUGAGAAAAAUAAGAUCAAAUGGAUUAAAUGAAUCAAGACACUAUAUGACGCCACAACACCUCCCAUUGGACAUAUGCAAGGCAUAAUUGGGCUAUUUUUUGCAAAAUGGCUCAUAUGGCCAGGGUGGCUAUUAAUGCAAACCCAACAAAGGUGACCUCAAAAAUAUGGAAAUACCUCAAUAAGCUUAUAUGACUUCAAACUCCCAAUAAUUAUGGCCCGAGAGAUUACUUCGCAGAAAUGACCCAUUUUGCAGAAAUGGCCGAUAUGGCCAGAAGUGGCUAAAAAUGCAAAAUCAAAAAGUACGAACUUUAAAGUAAUAUAACACCUAGUUGUGGACUCAAGAUCCUAAGACAUGUGUCAUUGAACCGCGAAAAUGACCUCAUUUUGCAAGAAUGGCCGAUGUGGCCAAAUGUGGCUAAACAUGCAAGAUUUGGCUAUGACCCCGGAAGCCAAAAACCUAAGACUGACUAGGAAGACCGGACCCUAUGUGGGUUACCUACAUAUCCCGCCCCGAAAGACAAGAAUCAGGUUCGCAUAGUUCGGGAAGAUUGGAUAUGGGAGAAAGCUAAAAAAUGCAACUAAUUUGGAAAAAUUAUAUUUUUUGUCUUUUUGAAAAAUGAUGGAAAAUGUAAAAUCCUUUUGGAUUUUAUUUUUUCUCCUUUUUUUUAAUUUUUGGAAAAUGAUGGGAAAGUGCAAAAUCUUUUUGGAUUUUUACAUUUUUUCGUAUUUUUGGCUUUUCUUGAAAAAGUUGUGAAAGAAAAAUAUAACUGGGCCCUACUUGCUUAAUCUUAUAUAUCACCCUCUUUUCUUUUUCAUUUGCCCUCAAAUAUCAUUGGUCCGACAAAUGACUUUUUUGCCUUUAAAGAAUGCAGCAUGCGGCACAGGGAUGAUUAAAUGUCUUUUUGGACCAUGUGCCCAUUUUGACAUAAUUUGGAUAGGCUUCUUACAAUGGGACCGAGCCCUGCUAGGUUCAACUAAUAUGAUGCAAAUAAGCAUGACCUAAAGGCUGACCUAAGUUUGGGUUCACUAGACAAGGCAAUUCGGGGCGGCACGUGGUCGAUGGCGGCUGCUCUAGCUGUCCGCCCACUCCACGCUCCCACGCUACCCCCAUAAAGACACAGGUGACUCACAAAAGGCCGUGUACGCUCAAACGUAUUCCAAAAGACUUGUUGUAGAAAAAAGACCCAGGGUUAUGCAAAUGAUGAUAGUUUAUAAAGAAGUAACACAUAAAGGAAAGACUGUAAAAAAAAUAAGCAUCUAGCAAAUAAUAAAACGACAUAAACAAAUAAAAAUUAAAUAAAGCAAAUAAAACACAUAAAAUCCUCAACCGAAUAUCCUAAAAGCCAACUAAAUCAAAGUAUUAGCUCGAACUUGCAAGUCCCCAACAGAGUCGCCAGACCUGUCACACCCCUUUUUUACCUACUUCACUUAACCCUCUUAAAAAUAAUAAAAGGAUCUGUAAAUCUCAAAAGUGUUUUCAAUUAGAAAUUGACAAAAUUUUGUUCAAACGGACUUUCAGAGUCACCACCUGACAUUGGUUUUGGUGUGCCAGGUCACCAUUUUUUUUAAUGAUUUUCCUUAUAAAAAACUUUGGACUCUGAUGGGUUUUCAAUGUCUUAAACUUAUGCUUCUUAUGUUUUGAUGAUCUAACAUACUUGUUGUGAAGAACCAGAUAGAGAACCUUGUCCCACAUGAUACACAUCUCAUGUGAACUAUUCAAACCCUGAAAAUCAGCAAAUGGAUCAAUGACCACAGGGAGGAAUACAACAGGGACCCAAUGCGUUGGUCCUUUAGAGUUCUCUGAGAAAAACACAAGUCAGCGACUGUGCGCAUUUAAUAUAAAUAGAAACAUAACAGGGACCUGCUCCUUUGAAGUUCUCUGACAAAAGUACAGAUCAAGUGCACAGCUGGAACGUAGCAGGAGAAAGUGACCAUCUGGCAACUGUUACAGAAGAGGAACACAACCAGGACCUAGUCCGUUGGUGUGUCCUGACAUAAGUACAAAGUCCACUAUCCAGCUGGAAUGCAACUGCCCAGAAGUGGCUGUGCAGACAGUGCAACAGUCACUUCUCACCAGGAAGAAGUACACCAAGAGUUGACAUCACUAUCCAUUGUGAUAUUUUUUGUGAUAAAACAACCUGGUGCAAGACACACCAUCACUUGUGCAUUCAGUGAUAUUCUCUCAAGAAGAAGAAGCAUUCAUCCGGCAUUGAAGUCACUGGUGUGUCAAGAACAAGAAGAUAAUUCCACUAAGGAUUAGUUUCUAAACGAUUCUUAUGUACAUCCAUAGUUGAGUUGUAAUCUUGUUAAUUGCUCUACAUUGUAAUUCCUAGUUUGCUUUUUUUAGAAGCGCUGUUUUAGGAACAACCAAAUUCGUCAACUUUAAAGUUUAUGUUGUGACUAGGAAUAGUCAUAAGUUAAAUCCUCUAUAACUAGGAGAGUUAGAGAGUGGCUUGUGGUGUCACAAGUUAGUUUGAAGUCUUUGCAAUAGGGUGUUUGCAAAGUGGCUUGUAAUAGGUAGAUUACAAGUUAGUUGAGUUAAAAGUCUACAAGAGUAGGUCGUGGUUUUUUGAUCCCCUUGUGUGGGAUUUUUCCACGUAGAAAAUCUCUUGCCUUCUUUACAUUCAGUCUUUACUGCAUUGUAUGUAUCUGUCUCAUAGAGGACCAGGUACUCCAUAGUUUGGUGGACUCAUAUAAGUUAUUAAUUGAUAUCAGAGCAGGUUCCUCCUAUCAGGAUAACACCUAGGAAGGAUCCUAAAUGGCUGCUCCACCAAACUUUGAAGAAGGACAAUCAACCUAUAGACCUCCCAGAUUCAAUGGUCAAUACUACGGUUGGUGGAAGAUUCGAAUGCAUGAUUUCAUAAUGGCUAAAGAUUCAGAACUGUGGGACAUCAUUUGUGAUGGUCCAUAUGUUCCCAUGAAAAAACUUGAAGAAACAGGACCAUUGGUGCCCAAAGGGAGAAGAGAGUACAACGACAUUGAUAGAAAAGCUGUAGAAAAGAACUAUCAUGCCAAAAAAAUCUUGAUGUUUGGCAUAGGACCUGAUGAGUACAACAGAGUAUCAGCUUGUGAUACUGCCAAAGAAAUAUGGGAAGCCUUACAAACUGCACACGAAGGAACUACUCAAGUCAAACAAUCCAUGAUCGACAUGUUCACCACUGAAUACGAGCUCUUCAGGAUGAAGGAUGACGAGUCCAUACAAGAUAUGCACACCAGAUUCACCUCCAUCAUAAAUGAGCUUCACUCACUUGGAGAUGUCAUUCCCAGAAACAAGCUUGUAAGGAAAAUUCUCAGUGUUCUACUUGGGUCUUGGGAAAGUAAGGUAAAUGCCAUCACAGAAGCUAAAGAUCUACAGACUCUAACCAUGGAUGAGUUGAUUGUUAAUCUGAAAACAUACGAGAUGAAAAGAAAGAAAGACAGUGAAAGAAGAGAGCCUAAGAAGGAAAAGAACCUGGUGCUUAAGGCUGAAAGGAGUGAUUCAAGUGAUGAAGAUAGUGACAUGGCCUAUCUUACUAAGAGAUUUCAAAAAAUGGUUCGAAGAAGUGGCGGCAUACCAAAGUGGGGUAGUUCAAGUAAAACAAGGAACAACGAUCUCUGUCACGGAUGUGGAAAGUCAGGGCAUUUUAUCAAAGACUGCCCACUCACUAAACAGGAGCAGUACAAGCAAAAUCCUGACAAAGCAGGAAAAGGAACCUGGUUCCAAAGAAUAGAUUCAAUCAAAAAAGUGAUGCAGACAAUAUCGUUAAGCAGGCUCUUGCUGCUUGGGGAGACUCCUCUAGUGAAUCCCAAAGAGAAUUAAAUGCAGAAAAUAGUUCUAUGAUGGUAGUGGAAACUGAAGCAACGAAGAACGAUUCACUGUUCGCGGUGAUGGCUCAGUUAGAUGAUGAUGAUAAAGAAGAUGAAGACGAUGAGGUAAACUUUAGGGAUGUUCAGAGAAAUCUGAAAUCCUAUUCCUCUAAGAAACUAAGGUCUUUAUCAAAUGUCCUAACUGAUGCUUAUUAUAGUCUUGUAAAUGAUAAGGAGAUCCUGACCGUAGAACUAGGAUAGGCCGAACAAUCUAGGGAUGAUCUAGUGGUCUGUGUAGUGGACUUAAAUGAGACCAUAGCUAAUCUUGAACUAGAGAAGGAGGCCCUGAAUGAAAAAAUAACUAGUGUGGAGAAUGAGAGAGACGAUUUGAUGGUAGUAGUUGUUGAUCUAAAAGAAACAAUAAAAGGUCUUAGCAAUGAGAAACACACCUUAGAAGAAAAAAUUUCCUCCACUGAAGAGGACAGGGAUGACCUUCUAGUGAUAUGCGCUGAUCUAAAGGAAACCAUUGAGGGACUCAAUAUAGAACAUAGGAAUGUAAGUCUUGGGAAAGGGAAGGAAGUAGCCAGUGCGUCGCACAUUUUGCUCGAAAAAGAGUUAACUGUUGUAAAAACCAGUCUCUGCAGUGAACUCGAGAGAAAUCAACUACUCCAAACUAAGUUGGAGAAAGUAAGAAAUGAUCUUGAGAAAUCCCUGAAGUGGACCUGGUCCUCAGAUGUUGUAUCUACCCUAUAUCUCAACAAUAGUGGGAACAAGAAGGGCAUCGGGUUCCAAAGGGAGAAAACUCCCUACAAACCACAUAACAAGUAUGUCACUGUACCUGAUAACUGGUUAUGUACCUACUGCGGAAACAAUGGGCAUUUUAAAGAAAAUUUCCAGGCCAGGGUUUAGUCUGCUCAGAAGAACAAAGCGUUUGCUGAUAAAGUGACUACUAGUAAAGGACCAGGUACCACUCGCAAAAAGCGAAUGCUGCCUGUGUGGACCAGGAAAUACCUCAUUCAUCCUUUUUAUAGUAACAAGGGACCCAAACUAGUUUGGGUUCAUAAAUCUAACCCUUGAUGUGCAUGACCAGGGAACAGUGAGAGGAAGCGGACUGCGAUGGACUACGGACAAAAGAUGCUCAAAACACACAGCUGAAGAACAUCAUGAAUUUCUUCUCACAGAAAGCCCUGCAGGAAGGGAAUGUAUCCUUGAGAAGAAAGUAAAGGGUACAUUCUCAUUGAAUGAUAAGGCAGAAAGGUUCCUUUUGGCACUUGAGUGGGAACGAACACUAUGUGAAUGACCUAAAAAAUAUUGUCAUCAAUUUGAUAACUAUCCAAGUAGUAUUAAUGAACAAAGGAAACAAGAACAGUCACUCUAGCUAAUCAUCAAGUGGAGAGUGAGAUGAGUGAAUUCACAACCAUGGGAUGAAGGAGUAGUAUAUGCAAAUGUCUCACCUCCGAAGAAACUAACUCAGCCGGACCUGGUCCGUGGUCUGCCAAACUCAAGCGUCACCUGGACAUGAGUUCACAAAAAUGAUGGAGGAGGAGGAGAAGGGAUCUCGCACAAUUUCUCAAACUCCAAGGAUUGCAUAACCGAAAUGGCGUAGCUGAAAGAAAGAACAGAUCUGGAAAUUGCUGCAUGGACUGUGCUCAUCGCCUAUGGAAUCGCCAAGAAACUCUGGGCAAAGGAAAUGAAUACUUCUCUCUACUUUGAGAACAAGUGUCGGAUCAGGUCCCUCCUAAAUCAAAACUCACCAUGAGCUGCCAAGUUGGAAGAAAAUGUCUUGUUCUUGACAACAGGAAGGAUCAGCUUGGGAAGCUCAAUGCAAAAGGAUGAGCUAAGGAAUCCUUCUAGGGUACAAUCCACAAAACAAGUCCACAGGGUCUCCAACAAAAGAAGCUCUAAAUGGCAGGAGAUGCUCAUAGGGUAUUCAACAAAACACUCUCCCUUGCCAAGAAAGAAACUGUGAGGAUUAAUAUGACGAACCAAUCCUACCUCUAGGAAAUAUUUGAGGCUUCAAAUCAGGAGGAUGAUAAAGUAAGGUAGAUGAAGGAGACUGGUGAAAGACAACGCAACAUCAUCCUCCAUGUCUCACAAAGACCUGGUACGUCACUUGCUAUCACUAAAGCUGAAGGAAGAAGUAAAGAUGCAGCUCAUGGCACUACACAAGCAGCAUAACACAAAGUGUGGGGAAAUGAAAUUAAUCUCCAUAUCUCUCUCUUCAACCAACUUCUGUCUCAAAUUGGAAGACCAAAGUGCACCUGACAUGAUUCAUGCCUCAUCUUCUGGGAGACAAGGAAACAAAAAGAAAUGACCUCAUCAACAACUGGAGAGAAAUUGCAAACACAUUGAAGGGUGAGAUCCUCUUCUGAGAGUCAAUAUGAAGAGGGGAUUCAUCGGUGGAAAGCAUUGCAGGAUAGAAGACCAAACUCUAGAUAUCUGUAUCAAAGCCUCAAAUAGUGAAUAUUUCGGAUAAAUCAAGGUGAAGACGGGGUCACAAAAAUCUAAUAAAGAACUUGAUCCUCCAUCUGUUGACUGUGUAAGACACCGUCAGGUAAAGGUAGCUAAAGUGUUUUUUGACCAAGCCUAACUCAUAUCAAUACCGUUGUAGGUAAACAUGCAUGACGAUCAUAGAAGCUAAAGGUACAGUUAUGAACUGCAAGAGGGGAGCUGCUAAAACCUUGUUCAAAAGAUUGCUCUGACAUCGGUUUCCUGUAUCUCAGGUUAGUAGUAAUAUGCUUAAAUUUUGCAUGCCCUUCCUAAACAAAAAAAAUAUAAUAUAAAUAUUUGUAAUUCAGCUGCCACAUCAUCUGACUUUUCAACGUCUGUGUGUCAUGUCUUGUCCGUCAAAUCCUUUCAUCCCCUCUGCACGGUAACACUUCCCCACAAACCUAUCGUCGUUUUCAGAACUAUUCAGAACCUGUUUCGCUCUCCACUCAUCAUUAGUUCUUCUUCCAAUAAAACUUUCUUUCUCUCUCAUGGCAAGUCAUGGACCUUCAUCUUCCGUGUAUAGCUAGGAUCCUCUUCCCAUCUAUCUCUUUCUCUCUCUACUCGUCUACUAAGUACUCAUCUAAUGGCGAUCGAACAAUCUUCUCAUUCCCCCGCCAUUAACACUGCUCCCACUUCUUCAUCAUCAUUGAAACCAUUCCCAGAACAUUAUUGUUUCACACCUUUUACCACCUUACACUCUUCUGGUUCCUCCUCCACCCCUACAAUGUUUCCAUUUCUGAUAAACCCUAUUUACCACUAUUUUGAGAAUCCUAUGUCUAGUCAAUCCUACGAUCUCAUCAAAAACCACACAGGAGAUCUUACUCCUCGAAUAUCAGAAGCCCUUGAGGAUAAUCCUGACCAGUACCUGAACACCUCCAUGUUGGACUUAGUGACUCUCAAGGAGUUACCUGAAAAAGAAGCAGCUCAUAACAUUAUGGCUAUAUCUGCUAAGAGUCUGAUGAAUGAAGGAGUCUAUCUCUCUUCUGAGUAUCAGGGGGAAGGCAUUUCAUUCCUAGGAAAUGUAAGAACCAUAGCACUCCUCGAGUCCUUGGCUCAUGAGAUAUUCUCAGAAAAGCCUUCUGAUGAACCUGAUUCACUUCCAUGCAAACUCACUCCUGCACCUCCUAUUCAUUCUAAGCUCUUGGAUUCUUCCUCCAAAUCACCCAUCACCAGGUCACUAUAGCAAGAGAAUUUUGAAUCCUCAUUGCAGAAAAGUAAGAGGAACGUUAAGGCAAGCAAAAAGAGGAAAAUAAAUCCCAAAGAUUUUAUCAAGUGUGUGUCAGUAAAUCAGAUAGACAAAAAUGCCUCUAAGGAACCUGGUUUCUUAGUGCAAUAGUCUAUGACGAGUAAGGAAACUAUUGAGGAACAGAAAGGGUCAUCCGUGAAGUACAACAGCAAGUCUAAACAGGAGUAAAACUGAGCUAGCCAUGCCUGAGGACAAUACGGUAGGGGAAGCAAGCUGGAAAGGGAAGUCUGGAGAAGGAACUAGCAAACAAAAAGCGGAAACCAUUAAGGAACCUGGUUCAACAAGGUCCUUGACCUGUGAUGGUGUUCAGUGGCAGUAGAGAUUAAGAACUCAAAAAGUGUUGUGGGGCCGAACAUUUGAUCCAGCAAUUUUGGAGAUGGCAGGCAUGAGACAAAUUCUGGAUAUUGUGGAAUUUCAACAAUGGGAACACCUGUUUGAAGGGAGCAUGCCUCUGGUGUACGAAGAUGCAGUGCAAAUCUUCUACUCAUCUCUCUUCACUAUCGAGGGGGAUCAUAUCUAUGCGCUUGUAAAUGGAGUGGAUAUCGUACUCGACGCCUCAACAUUGGGAAAAAUUCUCAGAAUUCCAUGUGAAGGUGUGUCCUCAGUUGAGGAUGUUUGUGGAAUAAAUUUUCGGAGAGCCAUCAUGAAAGAGCAAGCUAUUCAAUAGAGGGAAUAUGUCCAUAAGAAGGUAUUGCUUCCUGAGUACUAGCUUCUCUUUGAACUGGUUAAUAAAGUACUCUUACCCCGCUCUGAGAGACGUUCCAUUGCUACAAAAUCAGAUUUGGUCCUGAUGGAAGUGCUUGAUGAGUUUGUACCAAUCAAUUUACCUGCAAUCAUGAUAGAUCAUAUGCAGAAGUUGGCAAAUUUUAAGGUUGGCAAUCAUGGAUUACCAUAUGGCUUUCUCCUCACUCAAAUGUUCAGGUUCUAUAAGGUUCCCUUGGGAAAUCCCAGAGUGGGAACACGCAAGCAGACCUUCUCUAAGACCACUAUAGAAGAAUGUGAAUGUAUAGAAAAAGUUGGUGGAAGCGUCUCGACCAUUUCUCAGCUGAUAAACGCUUAAAAUGUAGCCUCUGAGGAAAUAAGAAGGUUGAGGGCUCGAAAUGCCAUACUGGAAACUCAGAUUAGCCAAUCAACUAAGGGACCUGAUUCUGUACAUGAGGAGGUUACCCGACUGACAAAGGAAAACGAGAGAUUCGGGCUCAACUACUUGAAGAACAACUGGCUGCAAAUUCUAGACUGGACCUGGUUCUCAAAACCAUUGUUGUCUCUUCCUCCAAGCCUCCUUCCUUUAGUGUUCCCUAGGAUCCUCCCUAGUGUCAUUUUUGCUUCAGCUUCCUGUGGCUGCUGUUUUACUUAUGUUUACUUGUUUUUGUGAUGGCAUGUUGAACUUAACCAUUACUGCUCCUGUAUUGCUCAGUCCACUGUAAACAUUAAUAAAACAACUCAUUUUUCGUUGCCUGUACAAAACUGUGCUCCUUUGGCCUCUCUUUUCUGUCAUGUUGUGUGCACAUAUGUGGCAUGAGCUAGCUAUGUUAGACUUCUUUAUGCUAUUACCUGCUUGUUCUCUUUGACACACUUGUUCUUUUUAAUGAUGCCAAAAGGGAGAAAAGAAGCGGAUGGUGUUGCGGAUGGUGUUGAGGGGGUAAUACGUUGUGCCUUAAAAAAAGUCUGAGAUUGAGGGGGAACUAAAAAUGACAAGGAGGGAGAUCUAAGAUUAAGGGGGAACUAGUAUCUCAUCUGGUUAAUUCUGACCCAAACAAAUACUUUCCAUGCCUAAAUUUGUCAUCAUCAAAAAGGGGAAAUUGAGGGGUUUUCAAUGUCUUAAACUUAUGCUUCUUUUGUUUUCAUGAUCUAACAAACUUGUUGUGAAGAACCAGAUAGAGAACCUUUUCCCAAAGGAUACACAUCUUAUGUGAACAGUUCGAAGCUUGAAAAUCAGCAAAUGGAUCAAUGACCACAGGAAGGAACACAACAGGGACCCGAUUUGUUGGUCCUUUAGGGUUCUCUGACAAAAGCCAAGUCAGUGACUGUACGCAUUCAAUAUAAAGAGAACCACAAUAGGGACCUGCUCCUUUAAAGUUCUCUGACAGAAGUACAGAUCAAGUGCACAGCUGGAAUGUAGCUGAAGAAAGUGACCAUCUGGCAACUAUUACAGAAGAGGAACACAACCAGGACUUGGUCCGUUGGUGUGUCCUGACAGAAGUACAAAGUCCACUAUCCAGCUAGAAUGUAACUGCCUAGAAUUGGUUGUGUAGACAAUGUAGCAGUCACUUCUCACUGGGAAGAAGUACACCAAGAGUUGACAUCACUAUCCAUUAUGAUAUCUUUUGUGAUAAAACAACCUGCUGCAAGACACACNNNNNNNNNNNNNNNNNNNNNNNNNNNNNNNNNNNNNNNNNNNNNNNNNNNNNNNNNNNNNNNNNNNNNNNNNNNNNNNNNNNNNNNNNNNNNNNNNNNNNNNNNNNNNNNNNNNNNNNNNNNNNNNNNNNNNNNNNNNNNNNNNNNNNNNNNNNNNNNNNNNNNNNNNNNNNNNNNNNNNNNNNNNNNNNNNNNNNNNNNNNNNNNNNNNNNNNNNNNNNNNNNNNNNNNNNNNNNNNNNNNNNNNNNNNNNNNNNNNNNNNNNNNNNNNNNNNNNNNNNNNNNNNNNNNNNNNNNNNNNNNNNNNNNNNNNNNNNNNNNNNNNNNNNNNNNNNNNNNNNNNNNNNNNNNNNNNNNNNNNNNNNNNNNNNNNNNNNNNNNNNNNNNNNNNNNNNNNNNNNNNNNNNNNNNNNNNNNNNNNNNNNNNNNNNNNNNNNNNNNNNNNNNNNNNNNNNNNNNNNNNNNNNNNNNNNNNNNNNNNNNNNNNNNNNNNNNNNNNNNNNNNNNNNNNNNNNNNNNNNNNNNNNNNNNNNNNNNNNNNNNNNNNNNNNNNNNNNNNNNNNNNNNNNNNNNNNNNNNNNNNNNNNNNNNNNNNNNNNNNNNNNNNNNNNNNNNNNNNNNNNNNNNNNNNNNNNNNNNNNNNNNNNNNNNNNNNNNNNNNNNNNNNNNNNNNNNNNNNNNNAGUUUCUAAACGAGUCUUAUGUAAAUCAUAGUUGAGUUGUAAUCUUGUUAAUUGCUCUACAUUGUAAUUCCUAGUUUGCUUUUUUAGAAGCGCUGUUUUAGGAACAAACCAAAUUCGUAAACUUUAGAGUUUAUAUUGUGACUAAGAAUAGUCAUAAGUUAAAUCCUAUGUAACUAGGAAAGUUAGAGAGUGGCUUGUGGUGGUUACAUCACAAGUUGGUUUGAAGUCUUUGCAAUAGGGUGUUUGCAAAGUGGCUUGUAAUAGGUAGAUUACAAGCUAGUUGAGUUAAAAGCCUACAAGAGUAGGUCGUGGUUUUUUGAUCCCCUUGUAUGAGAUUUUUCCACGUAGAAAAUCUCUUGCCUUCUUUACAUUCAGUCUUUACUGCAUUCUACGUAUUAGUCUCAUAGAGGACCAGGUACUCCAUAGUUUGGUGGACUCAUAUAAGUUAUCAGACUCUAAAACUAUGUCUACACCAGAGAUUCGGGUAAGGGGGUUCAUUUGACUCGGGGAGAAGGUGUUAGGCACUCCCCAAGUCCCGUAACUAGUACGGUUGUAUACUUGAUCUAGUCGGCUUUUAAAAUAUUCGAAUUGAGGUGAUAAACACAGAAAUGGAAAAAUUAACACAUAAGAGGCUCGAGGUCGUCCCCAUCUAAUAAAGAAAAAUAAAAGAAGAAUAAAACACUACAAGUUCUACUUCUGGCCUCCAAUUACAGAAUACUACGAGGCAUUCCCCGGAAUAAAAUAUAUACAAAUCCUUUGGGGCAUUCCCCGGAUAAAUUUAACUAAGGGAACGAUCUCACGCCUCGAAACUAAUAAAAAUCCUAAGGCUUGCCUACCCAAGUGUGGCCGGCCUAAACAUGCUACUAGCGGGUGACGUAAUAAUAAAAGGAAUAGAUAAUAAAUAAAUAAACAAAAGAGAACUAACUAAGAGAAAAAUUCAACUCAUGCUCCAAUUGAAUUGAUUCUUUUUAACCCAACUACACGUCCCAUUUCGAGCAAAUUAGACCAAAUAAUCUCGCCUCGACUUAAUUCAAUUCACACGACCCAUUUCCAGUAGUUCUAAUUUAUAUUCAUGUUCUACUCAUAAAUAUUUUUUAUCCACUAAUUCAUACUUGUAUUUAGAACAUCCAAAUAAUUAAGAAGGAAGCAUCAUAUCAUUCCAUCAUAACAUGAAAAUAAUCAACACAAAUAGAAGAGAAAGAGAUGAGAUGAACCUGAGCAAACUUUUCCUUACUUAUUUGAUUAAAGUUGAUUCCACAAACAAUGAAGAUCAACCCACGAUUCGAGGAACAAACAGGGACAACAAUGGUAACAAUGAAACCCGAAACAAGAAAUACAUCGGCGAUGCCAAGCGGAACACUGAACGAUGACCUCAACCGUUUCCAACACUCCAGCUCCAAUAUAGCUUAGCAGAAAAGGAUUUCACAUCGUUUAAUCGGCUCUUCGCUGUUUCUGUAAUUUGUUGUUCUUUUAUUUUAUAUUUCGACUCUGUGUGUAUGUGAUUUUUGUGAAGGAAGAUGGGGUUUUUCGCUGGGUUGCGGCUGGAACGUGGGUGUUGGGGAGGAGAUGCCUGGUCGUUCUCUGAAGGUCGUUUUUUGGGAGGUUGCUGGUAGUCUUGGAGUAGGGAUAUGUGAGGCGGGUGGUCAUUGGGCAUUGAAGGUGUGGUAGCGGCGUGGAGAAGAAGGCAGUGGAGUGGGGUGAUGGCUCGAAUGUGUGGUUCUAGGGUUUUUUGUUCUUCGUUCUAUGUAGAGAAGAAGGAUUUGAAAAGGUUAGUUAAAUGUGCUCCUAUGAGACAAUAAUG
rnacentral:lncRNA from 1 species